CAAGGAAUAGUUUAAGUAGAAUUUCAGCUUUGGGUGUUGAAGGUGGGGCUGUGCUUCUUCCUUGA
rnacentral:tRNA from 1 species